AUUAGAUGAGCCUAUAUUAGAUUAGCUAGUUGGUGGGGUAAUAGCCUACCAAGGUAAUGAUCUAUAGCUGAUCUGAGAGGAUGAUCAGCCACACUGGAACUGAGAUACGGUCCAGACUCCUACGGGAGGCAGCAGUGGGGAAUAUUGGACAAUGGGCGAAAGCCUGAUCCAGCCAUGCCGCACGAGUGAAGAAGGCCUUUGGGUUGUAAAGCUCUUUUAGUGAGGAAGAUAAUGACGGUACUCACAGAAGAAGUCCUGGCUAACUCCGUGCCAGCAGCCGCGGUAAUACGGAGAGGGCUGGCGUUAUUCGGAAUUAUUGGGCGUAAAGGGCGCGUAGGCUGGUUAAUAAGUUAAAAGUGAAAUCCCGAGGCUUAACCUUGGAAUUGCUUUUAAAACUAUUAAUCUAGAGAUUGAAAGAGGAUAGAGGAAUUCCUGAUGUAGAGGUAAAAUUCGUAAAUAUUAGGAGGAACACCAGUGGCGAAGGCGUCUAUCUGGUUCAAAUCUGACGCUGAAGCGCGAAGGCGUGGGGAGCAAACAGGAUUAGAUACCCUGGUAGUCCACGCUGUGAACGAUGAAUGUUAAAUAUGGGGAG
rnacentral:rRNA from 1 species